CCGGAAGUCUCGGCUUAUUUAGCGUGAUAUCUCGGACGUCCACGAGGUCUAGUGGCCGGGGAAACACUGAACGUGGGGAUCUGCCCAAUGAUACGGAAUACCUCCGGGGAACUGGAAUUAAUACCGGAUGUGCCCGCAAGGGGAAAGAUUUAUCUCCUUUGGAUGAGCCCACGUCUGAUUAGCUGUUUGGUGGGGUAAAGGCCCACCAAGGCGACGAUCCGUAGCUGGUCUAACAGGAUGAUCACCCACACUGGGACUGAGACACUGCCCAGACUCCUAGGGGAGGCAAUACUGGGGAAUAUUGUACAAUGGGCGCCAGCGUGAUCCAUCCAUGCCGCGUGAGUGAUGAAAGGCUUAGGGUUGUAAAGCUCUUUCACCGACUAAGAUAAUGAAACUUCUUUCAGAAGGAGCCACGGCUAACUUCCUGCCACCAGCCACGAUAGUACGAAGGGGGCUAUCCUUGUUCCCAAUCACUGACCGUAGAGCGCACCUAUGUCGAUUGUUACUUCGCGGGUGAAAGCCUGGAGCUCAACUCCACGACUGCCCUUGAUACUGACAAUCUCUCUUCCGGAAUACGUAAGUGGCACUGCGAGUGUAGAGGUGAAAUUCAUACAUAUUCUCUUGAGCACCCGUGGGGAAAGGCCGCAUAUUGGGGGGGGGAAUCACUCUUAAAUGCGAAAGUCUCGGGAGCAAACAAAGAUUACAGACCCUGAUAGUCCACGCCCGUAACACAAGAGAAAUCUACCCGGUGGUGCACCCCUGCUCAUCGCUGGCGGCUACGUAACGCGGUUAUCCCUCUUCGCCCAGACAUGUCGCUCUCACGACUUAAAAUCACAACCGAUAUGUAGGGGAGGGCCCGCUAAGCUGGUAGAGCAUCGUGAUUUUAUUUUCUAAGCAACGCCACGAUCCUUAUCAGUUCUUUUCCAUCUUCUCGAGAUUGGACCACCAUACUGGCACUCUUAUUUCGUCAGCGAGAACCACUAGAGUUAUUGUCUGCUCUCUAGCUCGCUCGUGAGGUUUUGGGUAGUUCUCCCAACAAUGCGAGAGCCAUGCUCGUUUAUGCCAUUCAUCAAUUAGUAGCCUUACCGUGGACUGACUGUGCCUCUAGUCUUAUGAAAACGUUGAAGACAUGCGAGUCCUAUGGCCCUUACGAUGAGUAAGCAUUACUCAAGUGUACUUGGAGACACGU
rnacentral:rRNA from 2 species